GUGGCGACUGUGCAGGACCAGCAGCGGACUGGACGCUGGUGGAGUGGUGCUCCGACGCGGGGCUUCUUUCCGUUGUCUCUGCCCCGCUCGAGGCUCCCUGGCGGGCGUGCCUUACAGGGAGCACAGGACUGGGUCCCAGCUGCUCCACCAAUAUUGCAGCUAUUUCUUUCGCUGCCGCCGUGCCUUACCGGAAACUCCUUUCUGGAAGCAGUUGGGAAAUCUGAAAAAUUUAUGGAGUGCCUGCUAUGUGCUUCCCGAGAUGUCUCUCUCUUAGUUUGCAUGUAGAUAGAAUGACCAGCAAGGAAUAAUGCCAGCCAAGAAAGAGCUUUUAGAUUUUACGGUCUGAAUUCACCAGGGACAAUCCUUAGACAAGACAUCCUCCAGCCCCCGUCACCACCAGCCUCUGGUAACCACCACCAUUCUACUGUCUGCUUCUGCUGCUGGUUGGAAGGCAACCUAUCCACAAAUGAAAGCUACAGAUUGAGAAUGUAGACGAAGCUAAAGUUCAAUGGGACAGCACUGCUCUCGGCUGUUGCAGAUUGAUGAGGCUAAGGAGGCAUGACAACUAAAGGCAAUGUGUCAUCCUGGAUUGAGCCCUGGACCACAAAAAAAGGACAUCAGUAGGACAUUUGGUAAAAUUUAAAUAAGGUCUGUAAUAAUACUGUUGAAUCGGUUCUUGUUUAAUAAUUGUACCAUGGUAUGGAAGAUGUACAUAUUUGGGGCCAAACUUGUUAUUAUCUUGCAACUUUUUCAUAAGUCUGGAGUUAUUUAAAAACAAAAAGUUAAAAAAAUGUAUACACACACAUUUAUUUCUCUAAAAGCAUGUCUACCACCUGUUAGGUAGGACAGUGAGAAUAGUUAGACCAGUGCUUCUCAAAUUUGAACAGGCAUACAAAUCAUCUGAAAAUCUUUUUAAAAUGCAGAUUCUAGUUUAGUAGUUCUGGGGUGGCUCUUGAGAGUCUACUUUUUUUUUCUUUCUUUUUUUCUUUUUAAAGACAGAGUCUUGCUCUGUC